GAUGAACGCUGGCGGCGUGCCUAAUACAUGCAAGUCGAGCGAACGGACGAGAAGCUUGCUUCUCUGAUGUUAGCGGCGGACGGGUGAGUAACACGUGGAUAACCUACCUAUAAGACUGGGAUAACUUCGGGAAACCGUAGCUAAUACCGGAUAAUAUUUUGAACCGCAUGGUUCAAAAGUGAAAGACGGUCUUGCUGUCACUUAUAGAUGGAUCCGCGCUGCAUUAGCUAGUUGGUAAGGUAACGGCUUACCAAGGCAACGAUGCAUAGCAGACCUGAUAGGGUGAUCGGCCACACUGGAACUGAGACACGGUCCAGACUCCUACGGGAGGCAGCAGUAGGGAAUCUUCCGCAAUGGGCGAAAGCCUGACGGAGCAACGCCGCGUGAGUGAUGAAGGUCUUCGGAUCGUAAAACUCUGUUAUUAGGGAAGAACAUAUGUGUAAGUAACUGUGCACAUCUUGACGGUACCUAAUCAGAAAGCCACGGCUAACUACGUG
rnacentral:rRNA from 1 species